rnacentral:rRNA from 1 species
GCUGGCGGCACGCCUAACACAUGCAAGUCGAGCGCCCCUUUCGGGGGGAGCGGCGGACGGGUUAGUAACGCGUGGGAACAUACCCUUUUCUAUGGAAUAGCCUUUGGAAACGAAGAGUAAUACCAUAUACGCCCCUCGGGGGAAAGAUUUAUCGGUGAAGGAUUGGCCCGCGUUAGAUUAGAUAGUUGGUGGGGUAACGGCCUACCAAGUCAACGAUCUAUAGCUGGUUUGAGAGGAUGAUCAGCAACACUGGGACUGAGACACGGCCCAGACUCCUACGGGAGGCAGCAGUGGGGAAUCUUAGACAAUGGGCGCAAGCCUGAUCUAGCGAUGCCGCGUGAGUGAUGAAGGUCUUAGGAUCGUAAAACUCUUUCGCCUGUGAUGAUAAUGACAGUAGCAGGUAAAGAAACCCCGGCUAACUCCGUGCCAGCAGCCGCGGUAAUACGGAGGGGGUUAGCGUUGUUCGGAAUUACUGGGCGUAAAGCGUACGUAGGCGGAUUAGUAAGUUAGGGGUGAAAUCCCAGGGCUCAACCCUGGAACUGCCUCUAAAACUGCUAGUCUAGAGAUCGUGAGAGGUGAGUGGAAUUCCGAGUGUAGAGGUGAAAUUCGUAGAUAUUCGGAGGAACAUCAGUGGCGAAGGCGGCUCACUGGCACGAUACUGACGCUGAGGUACGAAAGUGUGGGGAGCAAACAGGAUUAGAUACCCUGGUAGUCCACACCGUAAACGAUGAAUGCCAGACGUCASGGGGCUUGCCCUUUGGUGUCACACCUAACGGAUUAAGCAUUCCGCCUGGGGAGUACGGUCGCAAGA